rnacentral:lncRNA from 1 species
CUCGUUUAUAGACUGAAGGGAAAGUACAGAAGUGAGUGAGACUGAAAACACAGACUCAAAAUGAAAUCACCGAUGAAGCAGGGUGGCUAAAGAGGAGAGGAAGUAAACCUCAGUGCAGGUCUUCAGGUAUUUUAGGAAGUAUUUUUUCUGAAGUCAGCAUCCUCAGAAGCAAAGCCUGAGAUGAAGAUUCAGAUGAAGAUGAUUUACACACCAGAAACAACUAGCACAACAGUGGGAGAGGGGAGCCAAGCGAGGGGAGGAUGUUCAUUUCAUAAAUUUAUGAUUUAUGCUUUAAUAAAGUGAUGCAAUCUCAUUGAAUAUUUAAAAUGAAAUGUGCUACUCUUUCGUGUUUAAUUAUACUUAGAUAUGAAAUUCAAGCAAUAAUAAAAUGAGAUGUUAUUGUCUUGAAUACUCAGAAGUUCUUAACCUUAUUUUGUACCAUUGACACCUUUGCAUAGGUGAAACCGAUGAAAGUCAUUUCAGAAUAGUCUUUUAAUGCAUAAAAUAGAUACAUAGGCUUACAAAGAAAAGUAAUAAUAAUAAAAUUCAGUAUUAGCACAUAGCCCUUCAGGGAGUGAUCUAACAGCUCCAGGUUAAGAACAUGGAAAAUAUCUAUUUUAUUAUAAUGGUUAUUAUUAUCAUGUGUAUAUCACUUACUAAAAAGUAUGUGUUUUAAUGUUUAAUAUGUAGAAAUAAUAUUUUUCUGAUUACAUAAUAU